rnacentral:rRNA from 1 species
UACGUAGGGUGCAAGCGUUGUCCGGAAUUAUUGGGCGUAAAGAGCUCGUAGGCGGUCUGUCGCGUCGGCUGUGAAAACUCGGGGCUCAACCCCGAGCCUGCAGUCGAUACGGGCAGACUAGAGUGCAGUAGGGGAGACUGGAAUUCCUGGUGUAGCGGUGGAAUGCGCAGAUAUCAGGAGGAACACCAAUGGCGAAGGCAGAUCUCUGGGCCGUAACUGACGCUGAGGCGCGAAAGCAAGGGGAGCGAACAGG